UGAGAUGAAGCACUGUAGCUCUA
rnacentral:ncRNA from 3 species